AGAACGAACGCUGGCGGCAGGCUUAACACAUGCAAGUCGAACGCCCCGCAAGGGGAGUGGCAGACGGGUGAGUAACGCGUGGGAACGUGCCCUAAGGUACGGAACAACUCCGGGAAACUGGAGCUAAUACCGUAUGUGCCCGAAAGGGGAAAGAUUUAUCGCCUUGGGAUCGGCCCGCGUCUGAUUAGCUAGUUGGUAGGGUAACGGCUACCAAGGCUACGAUCAGUAGCUGGU
rnacentral:rRNA from 1 species